rnacentral:rRNA from 1 species
GACGAACGCUGGCGGCGUGCCUAAUACAUGCAAGUCGAACGCAGUGGGGACGGGUGAGUAACACGUGGGUAACCUCCCAUCAGAGGGGAUAACACUUGGAAAAAGGUGCUAAACCGAUACUGAUGGAUGGACCCGUUGUGCAUUAGCUAGUUGGUGAGGUAACGGCUCACCAAGGCCACGAUGCCUAGCUGACUUGAGAGGGUGAUCGGACACACUGGGACUGAGACACGGCCCAGACUCCUACGGGAGGCAGCAGUGGGGAAUUUUCGGCAAUGGGGGAAAGUCUGACCGAGCAACCCCGCGUGUGUGAAGAAGGCUUUCGGGUCGUAAAACUCUGUUGUUAGAGAAGCGGUAUCUACCCAGAAAGCAACGGCUAACUACGUGCCAGCCGCCGCGGUAAUAC